rnacentral:lncRNA from 1 species
UAUUAAAUUUCAUGAGAUCAUUUUAUUUCUUUUGCUGUCUCUUCCACGUUCUUGGGGGUGCAAAGUGAGAUCAAGAAGAUCAAUUUUCCUUACGAGUCUUUACCGAUUAAGGAAAACAUAAGUGCUAUAUUCUUAAAAGCAUCAAGUUUCUGUUUUUUGAAGUAGCGUACACGGAUUAAGCUCUAUUUACGUGAGCUGUGGGCUCCAUAGCGUGAAUGAAGCGAGAAGAUUAGUAAAAAAGGAGCCAAGGAAGAAUAAUAAACGAAAGAAUGCGAUAAGCAUGAGAAACUAAAUAUAAAGAACAACGGAUUUUUUUUGAAUGAAUAGAAGUGAAGAAAGAACUGAAAAGUUGAUCGAUAAAAUCACACUCUUGUGCUACUUUUAACGCAUAUAUGUGCUUUUGUAUGUUGAUUUAUUGUCGAGUCUUCCCAAAGAAGUAUUUUUCCUUCAGAAAUCUCUAUCAUGUGAUGAAUGCGGUUUAGGAAUCAGAUUGCAG